AAGACUAUAGACCUGCGGAGUACCUGCGGAGGGAUCAUUACCGAGUUCGCGCCCCUCGGGGCAGACCUCCCACCCAUUGUUAUCACUACGAUCGUUGCUUUGGCGGGCCCCGCGCCCGCCAGAGGCUCCGCAGACUCUGGAUGUUAGUGUCGUCUGAGUUACUAUACAAUAGUUAAAACUUUUAACAACGGAUCUCU
rnacentral:misc_RNA from 1 species